CUCUUGCAUUAUUUACUUCCGGUGAAAAGUAUGAUGUAAACAUCGUCUGACAAAUUCAAUACAAGUGAUAAAGCAGAAUUUGAAAUCAAAUAAUUACGUACGGUAAGCAUUCAAAUAUGGCUUCGUAUUUUGAUGAACAUGAUAUGAGUAAUGGCGAAGAUUCUGCACAGCCACGGCCAGACCAGAGUCUACUGCUCCGAAUUUUAGAAAUGGCCAGACUUUUACAAGAAGAAAUGGAUGUUGAAAUUGUUAGUGAUUUAGGGUUUAUGUCAGCAUCUGGGAAAGCUCCACCAGCCUCCAAAAAAGUUGUAGAAGAAUUAGAAACAAAAUUAGUAUCACCAGCAUCUGCCU